CCUACGGGAGGCUGCAGUCGAGAAUCAUUCACAAUGGGGGAAACCCUGAUGGUGCGACGCCGCGUGGGGGAAUGAAGGUCUUCGGAUUGUAAACCCCUGUCAUGUGGGAGCAAAUUAAAAAGAUAGUACCACAAGAGGAAGAGACGGCUAACUCUGUGCCAGCAGCCGCGGUAAUACAGAGGUCUCAAGCGUUGUUCGGAAUCACUGGGCGUAAAGCGUGCGGAGGGUGUUUCGUAAGUCGUGGGUGAAAGGCGCGGGCUCAACCCGCGGACGGCACAUGAUACUGGGAGCCGAGAGUAAGGGGGGGGGAAGCGGAAUGCGCGGUGUAGCAGUGAAAUGCGUAGAUAUCGAGAGGAACACUGGUGGCGAAGGCGGGUUCCUGGACAUUAACUGACGCGGAGGCACGAAGGCGAGGGGAGCGAAAGGGAUUAGAUACCCGAGUAGUC
rnacentral:rRNA from 1 species